CUGGCAUGGAAAAGGAAACCCUAGGAUGCCAGGAGAAGCAGUAGCUAACAAGUAGCAGUCACUGCCUUGCUUUUUAUAAUUCUGCUGUCAUAGGAUGCAAGAACUAAGGGUUCGGCUUGUGCUUGGCUGGGAGAUCUAAGCCUGCUUUUAGAAAUCCAUACUCGGCUCUUUUUGGACUGAUAAAGCCUCUUUGAAGCUCAUGCACACACACACACACACACACACACACACAAAAGUGUUUACAGAACCUGGCUUGUCUAAUUUGCCAGCAUAAAGAGAGGCAGAGCUCAGGCUGAUGUCACUUUUCACAUCCAGAUAAGAGAAGCGUGCCAGGAUGGCUAUUUUGCUCUGCAUUUGCAGGCACGGUGGUCCCUUAGGGAGGGUUCCUGGGUGAAAGUGAGAUACUAUAUACAAAAGUAAACUGCAGGAUCAUUGAUUAGAUUGGCUAAUUUUAAUUAGAGCUGUGUAGGAAGCUGGUUCAAGCAGCGUUUUAAUGACUUAAUGGCAUUUGUGUAGGCUCAUCCAAGCACAAGUCAGCAGCCACAGCCAUGUAACACUCUGAUACCGGUAGCACAAAGCCUGAUGUUGUGGUUCAUUGGUCUCAGCGUGAAGUCUUGUUGUUCCAGCAUGGAACUUUUGGUCAGAAAUACAGCAGAAAACUAUAACUCCAGUGUGCUGAUUUCCCCAGUGAUUAUCACAGGAACAUGGAGGCAGAAAGCAUGGGCUUGAGGCCCUGAACACCUGAUUUGACUUUCAUGUCCAUAUGUCUGUCACAGGUCCACUCAUUCUGGUUCUGUGGAGAGAAGAACAUGGUCCUUCUCACUGGAGAGGGCUGUUUUCUUCUUUGUUUUUCUUUGUUUGUUUGUUAAGAAUACAGCAUUAUUUCAUGCAGCAGGAGAAAAAGGAAAACAAAAAUAAGCUAAACAAAAAGCUUUCACAACCCUCAUUCCCAAAUCUGUGCGUCAUAGUGUGCCAGGAAAAGAGAUUUCUGGCCUUUCUUCAUUUCUUUCUUUUUUUUUUCCUUUUCUUUUUUUCUUCCCUUUUCUGCGCUACUACUAACUGCUUUUCCCUGUCUCUCACUGGACAGCUGGAGGGGAUCCAGGUGGCUGCUGUUCUUAUGGCUGCACACUGAAUUCAGUGGGGGAAGGCUUGCAAAUGGCUUUCCGAGUAGCCAAGUACAACGGUGGCAAGGGGCAGUCUGCAUGCUGGGAGCAGAAGACAUUCCCUGCUCUGAAAUGGCAGGGGCAAUGGCAGUGUGGGAAUUCAGGGCUUCCUGUCUCUGUGUUCUUCCAUUAUCCACCCCAGAACCUUCUGUCCCUUUUUUACUGCUCCACCUCCUUCCAAGAGCCAAUGCGUUCAGAUGGGCACUGCCACACAAAGCCCCGGAUGCCUCCACACAGCAGUCUCUCUGUUGGAUUCAUUUGGUGCCCGCUCUAAUUAAUUCCCUUUGAACCGGAGUCUGAAGGUAAUUGCCAGUCCAGAUACUCUCGGCUGACUCUAAUGAAUACGCAGGACUGGAAUAGAAGGAUGUAAGAGCUCUGCUGUGCCAGACCAAGAUGCCACUGAUGCUCCAGAGUCAACAAGCAGAUCCACAGGACUCUUAAGAACUCUUCCAAAAUGAAUUACAGUCUGUUGUCAUCUCUUCUCUGCAGCAGAUGUCUGGAGCAGCUUACUGGGGACUGACACUCAUGUAGUGGUCUUUCCCUUGCUUCUAAGCCAUUCCUGACUCUUCUGAUGGUCUUUUAGUGUGUUUCUUCUCAGUUAUACCACUUUCAGUAUUCAGAAGGGUCUGAUGGGUAUCAUUAGGAAAGACAGAAAUAGGUUAAUAUCUUGAGCUAAAGGUGAGCCUAGCUUGAAAGAAGAAACCAAAACCCGCAGUCACAAAAGGAUCAUGCCUCUCUUCAGGUUAUUCCGGAGCCAUAGGUUACUAAGCGUGGUACAGCAUAACACAUAAAGGAAGGGUCCAAACUAGUAUUCCUCUGACCUAGCUUUAGGCCAGUAGGAAAAGACUCAAGUGGGUAUGUUAGCUAUGCUGAUGCCUGAUAACUUGCAAUGCUUUUUACCAUUUAAUUGUGAGUUCAAUCCGUGUUAUAAUGACCACCACACUUGUCCAACAGAUUUGGUUGACAUUU
rnacentral:lncRNA from 1 species